AAACCGUUGAAAGGGAAGCGAAUGGAGUUAGCAAUUCGCCCUGCCAGAUUCAGUUGUUCGCCCUUCGCGACGCGCUUGCUCUCGAUCCGCAUGGACGAGACGUGCGCGGGCGCGACGUGCGAACUGCGCACUUCUGGCGAGCGAGCGUCAGCGUCGGUUGGCGACGGGCGACAAGGACUCGAGGAAGGUGGACCGCUCUUUAUCGGGCGGUUGUCAUAUAGCCUCGUGCCUCUCRUMKUAYACCCCGGCGGCSRCGGGGGGAGAAUUCGCGACGCGUGCUUGGCUGGGCGACUCGAACGAUCGGUCCGGCAUGUCGACCGUGGGCGGACGGCACGCCUGUGCGCUCAAACCGCUGCCGGUGGAUCGGACGAUGUUCGCACAAUACGCGUCGAGGAUGCUGACGACCAUACGGCUCCWUCCGACCCGUCUUGAAACACGGACCAAGGAGUCUAACAUGUGCGCGAGUCUCCGGGUGAUCGAAACCCGUGGGCGCAAUGAAAGUAAAGGCCGUUUCAAGGACGGCUGAGGUGAGAAGCGUUUCGUCACACGGCGGGCGCGGCAUCAUCGACCGACCUAUUCUGCUCUCAGAGAGGUUUGCGUAAGAGCGCACCUGUUGGGACCCGAAAGAUGGUGAACUAUGCCUGAAUAGGGUGAAGCCAGCGGAAACACUGGUGGAAGCUCGUAGCGAUUCUGACGUGCAAAUCGAUCGUCGAAUUUGGGUAUAGCGGCGAAAGACUAAUCGAACCAUCUAGUAGCUGGUUCCCUCCGAAGUUUCCCUCAGGAUAGCUGGAGUCAUACGUGCAGU
rnacentral:rRNA from 1 species